rnacentral:misc_RNA from 1 species
GCAAUACCUUUGCAUGAUGCUUGUGCAGGGGGUUUUGCUGAAAUAGUCCAACUUUUGUUGAACAGUGCUAAUAGUGCAGAGUGUGUCAAAAGGAUGCUAGAAACAGUUGAUGCUGAGGGUGAUACUCCUCUUCACCAUGCAGCGAGAGGUGAACAUGCAAAUGUCAUAAGAUUGCUGUUGGCUUCUGGUGCUCCUGUAACAAAACCAAAUGUAUAUGGAAAGAACCCAAGUGAGCUACCAGAUCCGGACACAGAAGCUAGUAGAAUUUUGGAAUCUGCAGCUAGUGCUGUUUCAUGCCAAUAGGCCGUGACCAAACAGUUUCUUGGAUAAAAGCGCAGGCUUGUGUUAUCGACGUUUGGAGACACUUUGUUUUCACCAGCUGGUGAUUUGGUUGGCAUCUCUAGUUAGACAUCAUUGUGGAAACAAAAUUGUUUUCCCAAGGACUCACUCAAAUGGAGAUAGAGAUUGAGGUAACCAGAUUUAAAGAUGUUAAAAUACUGUACUAUUAUUAUUUUUAUUAUUAUCUAGUUUUAGCCGAAGAAGAAAAACGGAGGUUGUUUAUUUCCACACGCUAUUAGCAUUAUUUGGUUCUUGAUAAUAGAUACUCCUCUAGUUUUGAUCUAAGCACAGCCCUGUGGCUGUGAUGGCGCUUGAAAGAAUGUUAACAGGAACAGUUAUUGCUUGCUGGUGGUCCUGGGUAUGAAGGUUUUGCUAGUUUAAACUCCACCACCUAUCUGGUUCAUA